UAUUAAAAGAUAACAUAAGGUUGCCGUCUUCCUUCAUUUGUAUAACUGGUUACGUAAAUUACAAGGCAUAACAUAUGCAAAAUUACUACUGAAAAUAUUUGUUUCAGCUGCACUGAAAGUAUUUGCUAUGUAUAAGUGCAUCCAAGUGACACAUUACAAUUACUGUACAAUUAAAAAAAAAUAUUUGAAAUAUUUCGUAAAAAAGCACAUUAUGAAAUACAGUAAGCUGAUCAUAUUGACCCAGGUCAGCAUCAUACGAUGCACCACACUAUAUACAAUACAGUAGGCUGAUCGUACUGACCCAGGUCAGCAUCAUACGAUGCACCACACUAUAUACAA